CAUGCAAUCAGCAGUACAAAUUACGAUAGAACUUGACACUUUAAAGACUAACUCCAAUCAGCAGAUACUCAGUCUCAACUAUAUCGAUAUUUUCGACGAUACAAAGUGGCAUAAAAUUCAUAUACAUAACUUUAUCCGACAAUUAUUGGUUCUUGGAUAUUCAACCUAAACUAAUAUGCCUGAUAAGGAUCAACCAGCAGCUAAUGAAAAAAAAGGAUGGUUUGGAUGGUGCACAAUCCUCAGAACGGAUACUCCAACCGCAUUCUCGGAACCAAUUAACAGGCUUCACCCAUUUGUUGGAAACAUGUCACAGAAAAGCCAUUCAAGCGUUUUGGAGGACACCGGCUCGCCCUCGACAAGCCAACCAAUCUACUAGCAAGCAUUCAGAAAGUCGCAAAAGAAUCGAGUUCAUCAAUUGCAGAAGUGCAUUGUACAAUGUCAUCAUAGCACAUUAAGUUAAUAUUCAGUAUUUACAACCCACUUAAUCAUACAUAAACAAGGCUCAAACAAUUAUUUAUUUCACAUUGCUUAUAAUGUAUAUUUGUCUGGUACAUAGACUUUACGAUUACUGAGAUAUCAAUAAAGCAACUGCAUUUAUUACAUUUAAACAUAAACAAAUUGUGCAUAUGAUUAUAUUUCAGUUUAAAACUUUGUAAUCAAAAUUCUAAUCGUUAAAUUACCUCAUGUGGGAUGUAUCAUUCUUUAUUAUUAUAAUUAUUAUUAAUAGUAGUAUCAAUUCAUUAUUAUUAUCAUAUCAUUAUUGAUAUGAAAUACACUUUACAUAAGUAACGUUCCACCAGUUCAUAAUAGCUCUUGCACAAGUUUAUGAUAGUGUAAUCUAAAACAAUCUGUGGAUCAUUCAUAGCUAUAUUUUAUAUUUUCUACACAUUUUCCGAAAUUUGAGAAAUUGAGUCUGCAUUUUUUUUAGGUUUUUUUUUUCUUUUUUAAUUUUUCAAACAAUAAAAUAUUAAUGACUAAUAAUAUUCAACUAUGCUUGCCUGGCUUAUAACUGUUAUGUAAUAAUAAAAAACAUCUUAUUUGAAAUUGUUUUUAGAAACAUGUUUGUUCUUACAAUAAACUACAGAAACUUAUAAUUUAUAUAUUUAAUGGUUGCGGUACACCACGUAGAUAGCUCUGAAAAUAAUUGUUGUUUGGAGAGACUUAGACAUUGUAAACUGUCACAAAUACUGAAUGAUAAUUGGUAUAAUAUUAAUAAAUAUCAUU